GGUUUCAGAGGGGCAGCCCUGUUAGUCCGUAUCAGCAAAACCAACGAGGAGUCCUUGUGGCACCUUAGAGACUAAUAUUUAUUUGGGCAUAAGCUUUCAUGCUCUACAGCUCACUUCAUCGGAUGCAUUCAGUGGAAAAUACAGUGGGGAG